rnacentral:rRNA from 1 species
AGUGAACGCUGGCGGUAGGCCUAACACAUGCAAGUCGAACGGCAGCACAGUAAGAGCCUGCUCUUACGGGAGGCGAGUGGCGGAAGGGUGAGGAAUACAUCGGAAUCUCCUUUUUCGCGGGGGAUAACGUAGGGAAACUUACGCUAAUACAGCAUACGACCUACGGGUGAAAGCAGGGGAUCUUCGGACCUUGUGCGAUUGAAUGAGCCGAGGUCGGCUUAGCUAGUUGGCGGGGUAAAGGCCCACAAAGGCGACGAUCCGUAGCUGGUCUGAGGGGGUCGUCACACACAUGGGAAGUGAGACACGGCCGAGACACUUGCGGUGGGCAGCAGUGGGGAAUAUUGCACAAUGGGGGCGAGCCGGAUCCAGGCAUACCGCGGCGAUGAAGAUGUCGCUCGGGUGGGAGAGCCAUGAUGGUGUGAGAGAAGAGCAGCAGUUUAAGACCCCACGGUACUGACGGUACCCAAAGAAGAAGCACCGGCUAACUUCGUG